GAUCAUGGCUCAGAACGAACGCUGGCGGCAGGCUUAACACAUGCAAGUUGAACGGGAACAUACGAUAGCUUGCUAUAGUAUGUGAGAGUGGCGCACGGGUGAGUAAUACAUGGGAACAUACCUUAAAGUGGGGGAUAACUUCUGGAAACGGAUGCUAAUACCGCAUAUACCCUGAGGGGGGAAAGAUUUAUCGCUUUAAGAUUGGCCCAUGGCAGAUUAGGUAGUUGGUGGGGUAAAGGCCUACCAAG
rnacentral:rRNA from 1 species